UAAGGAGACAUAGUUCGAGCUUUCCUCGACCCACGGACCCUUGACCUCAAAUCGGGUGAGACUACCCGCUGAACUUAAGCAUAUCAAUAAGCGGAGGAAAAGAAACUAACCAAGGAUUCCCCUAGUAACUGCGAGUGAAGCGGGAAAAGCUCAAAUUUAAAAUCUGGUGGCCUUAUAGUCAUCCGAGUUGUAAUUUAGAGAAGCGUCUUCCGCGCUGGACCAUGCACAAGUCUCCUGGAAUGGAGCGUCAUAGAGGGUGAGAAUCCCGUCUUUGGCAUGGACACACCAGGGCUUCCGUGAUGCGCUCUCGAAGAGUCGAGUUGUUUGGGAAUGCAGCUCAAAAUGGGUGGUGAACUCCAUCUAAAGCUAAAUAUUGGCAAGAGACCGAUAGCGAACAAGUACCGUGAGGGAAAGAUGAAAAGCACUUUGGAAAGAGAGUGAAACAGUACGUGAAAUUGUUGAAAGGGAAACGCUUGAAGUCAGUCGCGUCGGACAAGACUCAGCCUUGCUUUGGCUUGGUGUAAUUCUUGUUUGACGGGUCAGCAUCAAUUUUGGCCUUUGGAUAAUGAUGAGAGAAAGGUGGCACCUUUACGGGUGUGUUAUAGUCUCUUGUCGGAUACGAGGGUCGGGAUUGAGGAACUCAGCAUGCGCCUUUUGGUGUCGGGGCUUAGGCCUACGUUACG
rnacentral:rRNA from 1 species